UUCCAGCUGACGAGUCUUAAAUAGGACGAAACGCGUGUCUUGGAU
rnacentral:hammerhead_ribozyme from 1 species